AUUUUUUGCAAACUUUGCAUUUGAAAAAACAAUUUGCACUCUCUGCAACCGCGCGAAAUUCCCACUGAAAUUCCCAGCCUAGUCCCUAGGCCUCUUAGUUCGCCUAUUGCGCGUUUCUGCAUAUUAAUGAGGUGACGGCUCCUGAGAGGCCUAGAAUAAAAUGUUUCAAGUGAGCCAAAAGUGGGGACAAAGUGUCCCCACUUGCUGUAUUGAGAUCAGUGGCUUGCGAAAAUGGCGCCGUUCUCAUGAGCGAGUAAAAUGUUUUAGAUUUGUAUCAAAUUGAGACAAGUUGGAUUAAAAUGUUGUGGUUUUAAUAUAUAUUGAAUAGAAGCAGUGGUACAUAAAUUAAUAUACUGAAAAGACAAUAUAGUAAAGUGGAAUUGAUGCUAACAAAAAAACAAGAAAUCGGUGAGAAAUAUUUUUAAUAUAGAAGGUGAGAAUUUAUUUAUCGAUAUCCUGGGAUAACUCUGCUGUAAUGUAGAAUAUUAACUAAAUACAUGGUAAAUAUAGUAAUGAUUUUUAUCAAUGCACUAUUGAAAUGCAUGUAUUCACCUGUGUUAACUAGAACGUUUGAAUAUUUGCGAGCUUUGAGCAAUGUGUUGUUAAGAAUUUAUAGAUCAAAAUAUAGAUCUGUUAUGUACUUGCCAACAAUUUUUUGUUUGAUGUUUAGGAAAUUUAAAUGGUGCCAUACAGGCAUAUACAGGGACAGUUGUCAAGAAAAUAUAUAAUUAAACAAGGUCAUAUUUGAAGAAUUUGGUGAAAGUGGUAUUUGUGAAUGACAAAGUUCAGGCAAAAGACAUAUUGGACAACAUGGAUGUACAUAAUUUUGCUGUUCAUUUAUUUCAUCAAGUCAGGAACUGGCCGAACUGCAGUCUGCAUAGUGUCAUGUUUGUAAUAUUUUCAAACAAGAUUCACCUGAUCACCACCCAACAAUGGCUUGUUGUUGGACUUCCGGGAACACCGGUAUUCUAGUUUAUAUUCAAAUGUUACUUGUUCGAACUAGUUUGUGUUAGAACAUUCACAAGGUACAGCAUCUAAUUCUUAUUAGUAUGUAAAAACUGAAACAACAAUUUCAACACGAACACUCAGGCAGGCACAUGUGAACAGGAAUAGAAUAAAAUUUGG
rnacentral:lncRNA from 1 species